rnacentral:rRNA from 1 species
AUUGAACGCUGGCGGCAGGCUUAACACAUGCAAGUCAAGCGGGGAAGGGUAGCUUGCUACCUGACCAAGCGGCGGACGGGUGAGUAAUGCUUAGGAAUCUGCCUAUUAGUGGGGGACAACAUUCCGAAAGGAAUGCUAAUACCGCAUACGCCCUACGGGGGAAAGCAGGGGAUCUUCGGACCUUGCGCUAAUAGAUGAGCCUAAGUCAGAUUAGCUAGUUGGUGGGGUAAAGGCCUACCAAGGCGACGAUCUGUAGCGGGUCUGAGAGGAUGAUCCGCCACACUGGGACUGAGACACGGCCCAGACUCCUACGGGAGGCAGCAGUGGGGAAUAUUGGACAAUGGGCGAAAGCCUGAUCCAGCCAUGCCGCGUGUGUGAAGAAGGCCUUUUGGUUGUAAAGCACUUUAAGCGAGGAGGAGGCUACCGAGAUUAAUACUCUUGGAUAGUGGACGUUACUCGCAGAAUAAGCACCGGCUAACUCUGUGCCAGCCGCCGCCGUAA